rnacentral:misc_RNA from 1 species
GGUCGAAAACGAUAGGGUCGUGGUGGUGGUGGUAGUGGUCGGAGAAGUUGAAAGUAGAACGGAGCUUGAGACGGCGGUGACGUUGGUUAGAGGGCUUGGAAGGGUUGCGAGAGAUAAGGAGAAGGAAGAGAAAAGCUAAAGUAAGGUAAAUNNNNNNNNNNUGGGCAUUGUUUUAGAUCUAAGAGAGAAGAAAGAGGAUUUUAGUUCAGAAGACACAGAGAGAGUUUGAC